UUGUCUUUUAAAUAGAGACCUGUAUGAAUGGCAUAACGAGGGUUUAACUGUCUCCCUCCCCCAGUCAAUGAAAUUGAUCUGCCCGUGCAGAAGCGGACAUAAACACAUAAGACGAGAAGACCCUAUGGAGCUUUAGACAAAAGAUCAAACAUGUAAAGAAACCAAACCAACCAAAAGGAACACAAAGGCCACAAAACCCAACGUAAAAUGAUCAAAAUGUCUUCGGUUGGGGCGACCAUGGGGGAAAGAAAAGCCCCCACGAGGAACUAAGGGCAAUCCAUUAAGCCAAGAGAUACACCUCUAAGCAACAGAAAAUCUGACCAAAAAUGACCCAGGACACUAAUCCUGAUCAACGAACCAAGUUACCCUAGGGAUAACAGCGCAAUCCUUUCCCAGAGUCCAUAUCGACGAAAGGGUUUACGACCUCGAUGUUGGAUCAGGACAUCCUAAUGGUGCAGCCGCUAUUAAGGGUUCGUUUGUUCAACGAUUAACAGUCCUAC
rnacentral:rRNA from 1 species